CUUAUACUCCCUCCGUCCGGAAAUACUUGUCGAAGGAAUGGAUGUAUCUAGACGUAUUUUAGUUCUAGAUACAUCUAUUUUUAUACAUUUCUCCGACAAGUAUUUUUGAACGGAGGGAGUAUAUG
rnacentral:pre_miRNA from 1 species